AACGAACGCUGGCGGCAGGCCUAACACAUGCAAGUCGAGCGCGCCCUUCGGAGUGAGCGGCGGACGGGUGAGUAACGCGUGGGAACGUGCCCUUUUCUACGGAAUAGCCUCGGGAAACUGAGAGUAAUACCGUAUACGCCCUUUGGGGGAAAGAUUUAUCGGAAAAGGAUCGGCCCGCGUUGGAUUAGGUAGUUGGUGGGGUAAUGGCCUACCAAGCCGACGAUCCAUAGCUGGUUUGAGAGGAUGAUCAGCCACACUGGGACUGAGACACGGCCCAGACUCCUACGGGAAGCAGCAGUGGGGAAUCUUAGACAAUGGGGGCAACCCUGAUCUAGCCAUGCCGCGUGAGUGAUGAAGGCCUUAGGGUUGUAAAGCUCUUUCAGCUGGGAAGAUAAUGACGGUACCAGCAGAAGAAGCCCCGGCUAACUCCGUG
rnacentral:rRNA from 1 species